rnacentral:tRNA from 1 species
GGGAGAGUGGCCGAGUGGUCAAAAGCGGCAGACUGUAAAUCUGUUGAAGUUUUUCUACGUAGGUUCGAAUCCACUUCUA